UACGUAGGGGGCAAGCGUUGUCCGGAAUCAUUGGGCGUAAAGCGCGUGUAGGCGGCCCGAUAAGUCCGCUGUGAAAGUCCAGGGCUCAACCCUGGAAUGCCGGUGGAUACUGUCGGGCUCGAGUCCGGAAGAGGCGAGUGGAAUUCCUGGUGUAGCGGUGAAAUGCGCAGAUAUCAGGAGGAACACCGAUGGCGAAGGCAGCUCGCUGGGACGGUACUGACGCUGAGACACGAAAGCGUAGGUAGCGAAUGGG
rnacentral:rRNA from 1 species